AUGGAGCAUACAAGAAAUGGUGAUUUGAAGGUCAGUUAUGAGCAGGAGCUGUUCGGGCGGCGCCGGAACGGCACCUUACCCGCCUACCCGGACCUCACCAGGGAGGCCGUCGCCACCGGCCCGGCUAGGGCGCCAGUGCCGCCGAAGAGCACGCCGAGCCGGCGGCGUACUUACGCUGACGGCGAGCUCGACGUGUUCUCGGCUGAGCGUUACUUCAAGGGUGCAAUUGACGGCGACAGCAAGGAGAGCUCCGUCACGCCCAUGGAGACUGUGGCCGCGGGGACGAGGCCAACUGCGCCGGUGAGCAAGCCGGCAUCGACGUGCGCGUCGGCAGCGAGCGCUUGCUCGGGGGCCACUGCCGACAGCCAGACCGUGCUCCUCCGGGACGCGCGCAGCCACCCGGGAUACAGCAGCAAGAAGUGCUGCCUGCAGGUCGCUGCGCUCCUGCGUCCGUGCUCCGGGAAGCGGGCCGUGCGCGUCAACGGCGGUGCGACGACGGAGACGACCGAAUCGAGCAAGCUGGCGGCGAGCAGGAUCGAAUGGUACAGAGACCUGAGGAUGCAGAAGGCUGGCCUCGGGCUAGCCGGAGAAGGCCACUGUGGCGUGGUCGCUGGCCUCCCGCCAAAUUUGAAUCUCGGCUCGUCACAAGUGGCAGCGGUAGGGAGGGGGGAGAAGGCGGCCGAGUACUCGAGCGCGAGCUUUAGGAAAGGAAGCUUCACUCUUCAGGCUCCCGUCAAAGUCAGCUGUGGCGGAGGCGACGACGACGACGAUGGCGGGAGCGAGUCGAGCUCAGACCUGUUCGAGAUCAAGAGCCUCAUGAUUGGCGACUGCCCGUACGAGCCAAGCGAGGCUAGCAUCCAGUGGAGCGUGGUGACCGCGAGCGCCGUGGACAUGUCCGCCGCGCCGGAGCGCGGUGGCGGCCGCGGGCGGCCCCCGGUGGCCGUGAGGCAGAACCGGGACCGGCCGGUUGGGCUACUAACGGGGUGCGUGAGCCGCAGGGCGGUGGAUGUGUCGCCUAUGGCCGCGGUGCGCAGGUUCCCCGACCCGCCGGGGCGCCGGCGCAUCGAUGGGUGA
rnacentral:rRNA from 1 species